GUCAUCGUGAGGUGACUGCUGAAGGAAGUCGAAGGCAAAGCACUGGUCUGACGAACAGGAAUCGUAUAUGAGGCUAUCGUAUCGGAUGAGGAGGCAUACAUCUCUAAAGUCCAAUACCUGUACGGAAGGUACGGUGGUAUAUACGGCAGACAUAAGUGUGAAGGUGAAUGCG
rfam:Chitinivibrio alkaliphilus ACht1 contig00024, whole genome shotgun sequence.